UACAAGCGCCUCACCUUAGCAUUCAAGGC
rnacentral:piRNA from 1 species